AUCUACAGCCAUGCCACCCUGAACGUGUUCGAUCUCAUCUGAUCUCGGAAUCUAAGCAGGGUCGGGCCAGGUUACAACUUGGAUGGGAAACCACCUAGGAAGACCAGAUACUGUAAACA
rnacentral:rRNA from 1 species